CCUACGGGUGGCAGCAGUGGGGAAUUUUCCGCAAUGGGCGCAAGCCUGACGGAGCAACGCCGCGUGAGGGAUGAAGGCCUCUGGGCUGUAAACCUCUUUUAUCAAGGAAGAAGAUCUGACGGUACUUGAUGAAUAAGCCACGGCUAAUUCCGUGCCAGCAGCCGCGGUAAUACGGGAGUGGCAAGCGUUAUCCGGAAUUAUUGGGCGUAAAGCGUCCGCAGGCGGUCUUGUAAGUCUGUCGUUAAAGCGUGGAGCUUAACUCCAUUUAAGCGAUGGAAACUGUAAGACUAGAGUGUGGUAGGGGCAGAGGGAAUUCCCGGUGUAGCGGUGAAAUGCGUAGAUAUCGGGAAGAACACCAGUGGCGAAGGCGCUCUGCUGGGCCAUAACUGACGCUCAUGGACGAAAGCCAGGGGAGCGAAAGGGAUUAGAUACCCCUGUAGUCCUGGCCGUAAACGAUGAACACUAGGUGUCGGGGGAAUCGACCCCCUCGGUGUCGUAGCCAACGCGUUAAGUGUUCCGCCUGGGGAGUACGCACGCAAGUGUGAAACUCAAAGGAAUUGACGG
rnacentral:rRNA from 1 species